UUUGUUUAGCAGUACAAAAACUAAAAAGACUGGAACGGUACAGAGAACAUGAGCAUAGCCCCUGCACAAGAAUACCACACAGUUCGUGAAGCAGUCCGUAUUUUU